rnacentral:rRNA from 1 species
UGCCGGCGACAAGCCGGAGGAAGGUGGGAUGACGUCAAGCAUCAUGGCCCUUAUGUCCAGGGCGACACACGUGCUACAAUGGCCGGCACAGCGGGAAGCGGAGGGGCGACCCUGAGCGGAUCCCUUGAAAGCCGGUCCCAGUUCGGAUUGCAGUCUGCAACUCGACUGCAUGAAGUUGGAAUCGCUAGUAAUCGCGGAUCAGCCAAGCCGCGGUGAAUACGUUCCCGGGCCUU